UGGCGGCGCGCCUACACAUGCAAGUCGAACGAGAAAGUGGAGCAAUCCAUAAGUAAAGUGGCGUACGGGUGAGUAACACGUGGAUCAUCUACCCUCUAGUGGGGAAUACCGCUGGGAAACCGGCGACAAUACCGCAUAAGCUCGAGAGAGAAAAGCAGCAAUGCGCUGGAGGAGGAGUCCGCGGUCGAUUAGUUAGUUGGCAGGGUAAAGGCCUACCAAGACUGUGAUCGAUAGCCGGCCUGAGAGGGCACACGGCCACACUGGCACUGAAACACGGGCCAGACUCCUACGGGAGGCAGCAGUGGGGAAUCUUGCACAAUGGGGGAAACCCCGAUGCAGCGACGCCGCGUGAGCGAUGAAGCCCCUCGGGGUGUAAAGCUCUUUCGGCAGGGAAGAUUAUGACGGUACCUGCAAAAGCAGCUGCGGCUAACUACGUGCCAGCAGCCGCGGUAAUACGUANGCAGCAAGCGUUGUUCGGAGUUACUGGGCGUAAAGGGUGCGUANGCGGCUUUUUAAGUUUGGUGUGAAAUCUCCCGGCU
rnacentral:rRNA from 1 species